GGGGCAGAGGGGGAGGGAGCAAAAUGGCAUUAUAUUAUAUUCUAAAUAUUUUGAAAUCGUUCUCAUAUUUACUGUAAAUGAAAUAACAUCUUAAAUAAUUUAAACACAAUUUAAAUUAAAAUAUAAUUUACCUUUUUAUUUAAUUAAAAAUUGUUUUACAAAUCAGAACAUCUGAAUUAUAAUCCCUGAUCUGCUAACAAGCUAUGAUCCUUGCAUAUAACUGGUUCUCAUUUUUGUCACUCUAAAAUUAGAACAUCACAAGAUAGCCAGAUGCAGCAGAGGAUACCAGAAAAAAUGCUGACUUGGAAACCCCUGACAUCCUGGGUCUGGUCCAUGCUCUGUAACACAAGAGGUUAAUUUAUCUGAACCUCAGAUAUCCUCAUCUUAAAAUGAAGUACAACAAAAUCAUCUCCAAAGUCCUGUCUAAAAUCCUAUGGUUCUAUGAAAUGAAUUAAAAUGAAGUUACUUUGAUGAUAUGUGGGCUACAGUAUAUAAGACAAAAAGAUUAAUUGAAAUAUUUGUCAAUAAAAAGUUGAAGUAUAUGCUUGCAGCAUACUAAAAUACUGGUCUUCCCUUUAUAUUUUUCUCUACAUCCUCUUGUGCCCCCAAAUCAGUAUUAUUUUUAUGGUUAAGCUGUGUAAAUAUGUCCCCUUUUCACCUCUGUUGGCUUAGAAUGCUAGGAGCUGAGCUGCACUAAGACAUUACUUCUUUCGUUAUAUGGAAUUAUCUCCUUGCUUUAAAUGAUUAGAUUCUGAAAUAGCAUCCCUGACAUGUCUAAAAUAAGAGUUUUACACUUAAAAAAUGUUGAAGAGUAGAUAAGCAGAUAUAUUAGUCAGAAACAUACAUGGCUAAAGUAACAGGAAACCAAACAGUGUCUUAAACAAUCUGGAGUUUAUUUUUUCUCAUUUAAUAAUUGGGGAGUUUGGCAAUUGCUCAUCUUGAUUUGGGUGUUCAACAAUGCCAUAUCAGGGACCCAGGAUCCCCUUAAUCCUCCUUCAGUUCUAUCUCUGAAAUGUAACUUUCAUUCUCACAUUUGCUGUUUCAUGGUUGUUUGAUGGCAGCUGCACCUUUAGGCAUGCUGUUGGCCAGAAAGAGGAGAAAGAGGCAAUGACUGUUACCACACAAAGCUCUGAUUUUUUAAUUUGAAAGGAAAGCCCUUCUCAGUAGGGUUCUGUUCAUUUCAUUCAAUUUCUCAAUUGCAGUAGUCACAUAUCAAGUACUCAAUAUCACAUAUGGUUAGUAGCUACCACAAUAGAGAGACAGAAUGGAUGGUUGAUUUCCUUCACUGCAAAAAGUUCUGCCUCGUACUAAUCAGACUAUACAGAAUUAAACUACCACUUCUGUUUCAGAUCAAUGAAGGUGCAACCUCUGGAGUUGGGGUAAGGUCCUAAUCUCUUUGAGGAAGAGGGAUCCUUGCCACUAUCAGAUCAAACUAAGGAUUGGCAAUGUGCUUAACAAAUAUAAAAUCUUGGAAAGAAGUUAUUAAAAUUUUGAAAAAAUAAAGUGAUACUGGCCAGGCUCAGUGGCUCAUGCCUGUAAUCCCAGCAUUUCGGGAGGCUGAGGCGGGUAGAUCACUUGAGGCCAGGAGUUUCAGACCAGCCUGGCCAACAUGGUGAAACCCCAUCUCUACUAAAAAUACAAAAUUAGCCAGGCAUGGUGGCACAUGCCUGUAGUCCCAGCUACUCAGAGGCUGAGGCACAAGAAUCGCUUGAACCCGGGAGGAGGUUGCAGUGAGCUGCGAUCACGUCACUGCACUCCAGCCUGGGUGACAGAACGAGACUGUCUCAAAAAAAAAAAAAAAAAAGUGAAACUAAGGCAGACAGCUAUAAGAGGCACUGAAUUACUUAUUACACAAAUAUAAUUGCUAGAGUAAACACUAAUCCAGUGACUGACGGGGAGGAGGUUUGAAGGGGAAAAGGUAGUGAAACAACGUGCAGGCACUAUUUUCUUUACAGAAAAUGUAAAUUUCAAAUGGUUCAUCAUGUUGAAAAUGCAGUUACUAAUUUCAUGUGUACAAAGACGGGAUCUUUGUGGUAAUAAAGAUUAGUAGAGAAUUACCUUCAGAUGAGAAGAGUUCUUUCACAGAAUAUAUUAAUCAGCUGCCUAUUACUCGUGGCAGAAUAAAACGAAAAUGACUGUAAUAUGAAAGAUUAGACUAGAUAUGGAGAAUAAUUUAUUAGCAGAACUAUUCAAAAGGUUAAAAGAAGCUGAUAUUGACAAUACUUUUCUUUCUAAACACUUCUAGAUUGUCAAUUCCUCCACAAUCCCCACUUGUCCAAAGCAGCAAUGACAAGUCUGUAGAUGCCUCUGUAUAUUUUUAGUAAAAAUAAAUUUAAAUAUAUUUAUUAUAAACAAAUACCAUAAAUAUUUGCGGUGAACAGUUGCUAUUUUAAAAACUGAUUUGUGUCUAAAUGAAAUUUAACUUUCAAGUCUCUUCUAUUUUGUUGAAACAUGUCAAAUACUGUUGAAGGUAGCAUAAUGGUUGUUUAUUAUGAAAAGAGAAAAAUAAAAAAUUCUAACUAAGGUAAUGAUAGAAUAGGAAAAUUUUAACAUUUUUGUUUCUAAGGAUAGUUUUAAUUUUCUUAUUUUUUUCAAAAUUAAAAAUAACUACAACCCCUUUAAUCCCUACUCUUUAUGAUUCUUUAAUAUUCUUUCAUGUAAUUUACUAUUAAAGGAUUCAAUAAAUAUAACUUGCAUAAAAGUUAAAGUGUCGUAACACAUAUUUAUCUUAAGGCAUUUUAUAUGUAAAAAUCUCAAUUAUGUCCUAUAUCAAAACAAAAAUUUUACAAAGAAAUAUUGCUGAACUUUGGAGAAUGACAUAUUUUAAGCAAGAUUCAUCAGAAGGAUAUUACAGCAGAUAAAACAAUUCAAAUAGCCCACUGGAAUGUACAGCAAAAUCCAAUUCGACAAUAUAAACAAAGUCAAAAUAAUCUGCUUCGGUCAGCUACAUAUGCUGUGACUUUGCUAUCACCAGUAAGGAGUUAACUAGAAACUGAGUUCUUAAACAAUAUAUCCACUGUGAGUAUAACAAAAUGAAGUUAGAAUCUUCAUAUGCAAGUUUAAUAAAUCAUCAUGGUUUAUUUAACAAGGUUAUACUACAUUAGAGUUUUAUAUAUAUACAUGUAUAU
rnacentral:lncRNA from 10 species